rnacentral:ncRNA from 1 species
GUAAAAGCGACGAAAAGGAGAAGUAGAAAAUCAGGCUUUUCACAGAGAGAACCACCAUUUGGCUGGGAGUGGUUUAAAAGCGGGUUUUUGAAGUGCCCCUUGGAGUCUUCUGCUGAACAACACGUUGUGAAAGUAAGCGGAAGCGGUGUAUACCGUUAUCAUGGUUGAGUUUGAGGUCUUUUUUAGACCUAAACAGAGUGGAACCGCGCUGAAAAGGCGUCUCUGUC